rnacentral:lncRNA from 1 species
CUUGCAGUAACGGGUGGCCUUGUCUAUUGGAGAGUUACAAAUUGCAUGAUGCUUUUUUUCAAGGCCUUUUAUCAGUCUGUCUGUUAAAGAGAAUCCCAUAUCAGAAGCAUGCAUCUUCCCCCGUCCUGGCAGUUAAUAUGUGCGGUACAUUCCCAAACGAGGCCAUAGGGACUCCGUAAAGGCUUAGAGAUCAGACCUGGCUUCAAAUACUACUGGAAAUCAUUUGAAAUACUUUAUCUGGACUUUAUUGAGCUUGCCUGUUGCAAUGGAACCAAUAGACAACUCCCAAACCCAGCCCACCUGACACUCUGGGCAAACUAUCUGAAAAUAUUUGAAAGAUUUGAAAUAAUAUUUGAACCCAGAUAGCACCCUGGGAUGCUGCUGGCACGGAGCCUUUCAAUCAAGCCUGCAAGCCUCCUGAGGUAAAACAUCAGUCACUACCAGAAAACUCUCCUCCCUCGUAAAACUGAGGAACGGCCUUCGCCACAGGGACACCGGCAGCCUGCACAGACAAUUUUUACAUAUUCAUUUAUGUCCUGAAGAGUUAUAAUUGAGCGAAGAGGGUGGGUCCGGUGUGUUUGGGGAAAUAUUAAACGGGCCCAUCGGUUGUAGUUUGUGGGUCUUUCAUCACCUUUUAUGGAGGUGCUCUGAACAGGCCAUGUUUAUGUUGCCUUCACAGGUAGAGGGAUUGGAGCCGUGUUCGCAUAAAAGGUAAAAUGAUGGGUGUAAUAGUGUUGCCAUGGAGAGAGCAGAGAAGUGGAGUAACAGCGUGAGUGAUUGACAGCCCUUCAGCACUGGAUUCACUUAUUUUCUCUUAAUGAAUGAUGGAUGUGAGGGGGCAGCUGCCCUGCUCCACAGACUCCAAAGGUGACCUUGACUGAUCAGAAGAAAAGUUUGAAAGAUGAUUCAUCGAUUCAUCCCAAAGACUAAACUGUUGACAAAAAUGGUUGCCGAUGUCACUGUGUUACUCAAACUACAUGCAUUGUAUGCCAUCGCCUUGUAGAUGCUACUAGCUGUUCUUGAAUAUGUACCAUCUUUGGUUUUAGAGACGCACUGGCAUUUUCUGAACGGGUAACUCUUUAUUGGAAGCAUAGUGCCAUAACAACUCAUAACUCGGUCAUAACCAUUAUCUCAUUACCCCAUUAUCUCUAUUUCUACUUUGCACUUUCUUCUACUACAAAUCUACCAUUCCAGUGUUUUACUUGCUAUAUUGUAUUUACUUUGCCACCAUGGACUUUUUUUUGCCUUUACCUCCCUUAUCUCACCUCAUUUGCUCACAUUGUACAUAGACUUAUUUUUCUACUGUAUAUUUGUUUUACUCCAUGUGUAACUCU